CCAGGGUCAAGUCGGAAGCCUACGCUGCAGCCACCAUGGGAACACCACACACUCGCUGCCUUCUUACCACCGACCCUGCCACCCCAUGAAACACUGCACCCCUGCCUGGCACUCCCCGUCCCCUCUCCUGCCCCCACCCUUAGGUUUUGUGGUUUGGUUCAGUUUUAUUUUGCCAAAGCACUUCCCUUCUCACAUUUCCUGUACUUUAUGUAGUUUAACUGUUUGUUUUGUUUCCCACGCUAAGAUGUCAGUUGCAGGAAGCGGGGAAUCUCGGGCUGUUCUGCUCACUGAUGUCUCGGUAGCACCAGGGCCAGGGCCGGAGCCUAUGGGCCUGGGCUCACUGGUGCUCGAUCUGGAAGUUGAGGUGUCCGCUGAACCAGUCAAUGAAGAGGGAGGGCUCCACAUUGCAGGUGGCUGCCAACUGCCAGGAGCGCGAGGGACACAGGAGAACAAGCAGACACUCACUCAGGAAGAAGUAGAGGUGCUGGUGGUUGUAGGGUAAGUAUCUGCGCUUCUUCUGGCCGUACUGUGGGGACAGGUGGCCUCUGAGGAGGGCAGCUCUCUGGGCCUCCUCGUCCCAGGCAGGGUCAGGGGGUCGGCCGGGGCUGAGGAGCCAAGGCAACUCUAGGUUCUAGCAACUGGGAGGUGGGGAGGGGGU